rnacentral:rRNA from 1 species
AGGGUUUGAUUAUGGCUCAGGAUGAACGCUGGCGGCGUGCCUAAUACAUGCAAGUCGAACGCAUCACUUCGGUGAUGAGUGGCGAACGGGUGAGUAAGACAUAAGCAACCUGGCUGUACCAGGGGGAUAACGCGUGGAAACAUGCGCUAAGACCGCAUAGGCUUAGAUGAAGCAUUUGAUCUAAGUUAAAUAUCCUAAGGGAUAGGGAACAGAUGGGCUUAUGGUGCAUUAGCUAGUUGGAGGGGUAACGGCCUACCAAGGCGACGAUGCAUAGCCGGCCUGAGAGGGUGAACGGCCACACUGGGACUGAGACACGGCCCAG